CAGCCCAGAGCCUGAAUCAGUGUGUGUGUUAGUGGAAGCGUCUGGAAAGGCGUGCGAUACAGGGUGACAGCCCCGUACACAAAAAUGCACAUAUUGUGAGCUUGAUGAGUAGGGCGGGACACGUGGUAUCCUGUCUGAAUAUGGGGGGACCAUCCUCCAAGGCUAAAUACUCCUGACUGACCGAUAGUGAACCAGUACCGUGAGGGAAAGGCGAAAAGAACCCCGGCGAGGGGAGUGAAAAAGAACCUGAAACCGUGUACGUACAAGCAGUGGGAGCACGCUUAGGCGUGUGACUGCGUACCUUUUGUAUAAUGGGUCAGCGACUUAUAUUCUGUAGCAAGGUUAACCGAAUAGGGGAGCCGAAGGGAAACCGAGUCUUAACUGGGCGUUAAGUUGCAGGGUAUAGACCCGAAACCCGGUGAUCUAGCCAUGGGCAGGUUGAAGGUUGGGUAACACUAACUGGAGGACCGAACCGACUAAUGUUGAAAAAUUAGCGGAUGACUUGUGGCUGGGGGUGAAAGGCCAAUCAAACCGGGAGAUAGCUGGUUCUCCCCGAAAGCUAUUUAGGUAGCGCCUCGUGAAUUCAUCUCCGGGGGUAGAGCACUGUUUCGGCA
rnacentral:rRNA from 1 species